rnacentral:rRNA from 1 species
UACGAAGGGGGCUAGCGUUGUUCGGAAUUACUGGGCGUAAAGCGCGUGUAGGCGGGGCUUUAAGUGAGGGGUGAAAUGCCAGGGCUCAACCUUGGAACUGCCUUUGAUACUGGAGACCUUGAGUCCGGGAGAGGUGAGUGGAAUUGCGAGUGUAGAGGUGAAAUUCGUAGAUAUUCGCAAGAACACCAGUGGCGAAGGCGGCUCACUGGCCCGGAACUGACGCUGAGACGCGAAAGCGUGGGGAGCAAACAGG